ACACCGCGCUGCCCCGGCUGCUGUGACAGCGCACAGCUCAGUCUGAGCGCACAUUGCCACCUGUCCUCGUCCGCAGAGAAGUCCUGGCUCUGGAACACCGUGAAAAUACCUCCCCGAUGGACUCACCCGAGCGCCGGAUCGCCCGUGGAGGGCUGGGGAGAAGGAAGGCACCGAGAGGUCGGCAGGGACACGCAGGUUUGUAGUCAAGCUUGGACUCCAGCUUCUUGGAAUCAGCCACUUUCCUGACAGCUUUCAUAAAAUCUUCCUGAACUACGAAGUCAUGAUCAGCACGGAUUGCAAACAUCCCUGGGAGGGAGGAUUUAACAGAAGAUAGAACAUGAAGUUUCACUCAAAAUCAAAUGAAAACUAAUCCAGGUUACACUGUCUGCAUGUGGACUUUCCCAUGUCUUGGAUGCUGGCAAGAGGGAAUUCCCCUUUCUGAACUAGGGGAUUACUAAAAAGAAAACUUGUUUGAACUCUGA